UCAGAACGAACGCUGGCGGCAGGCCUAACACAUGCAAGUCGAACGGAUCCUUCGGGAUUAGUGGCAGACGGGUGAGUAACGCGUGGGAAGCUACCUUGUGGUAGGGAACAACAGUUGGAAACGACUGCUAAUACCCUAUGAGCCCUAUGGGGGAAAGAUUUAUCGCCAUGAGAUGUGCCCGCGUUAGAUUAGCUAGUUGGUAAGGUAAUGGCUUACCAAGGCGACGAUCUAUAGCUGGUCUGAGAGGAUGAUCAGCCACACUGGGACUGAGACACGGCCCAGACUCCUACGGGAGGCAGCAGUGGGGAAUAUUGGACAAUGGGGGCAACCCUGAUCCAGCCAUGCCGCGUGAGUGAUGACGGCCUUAGGGUUGUAAAGCUCUUUCAGCAGUGAAGAUAAUGACAUUAACUGCAGAAGAAGCCCCGGCUAACUUCGUGCCAGCAGCCGCGGUAAUACGAAGGGGGCUAGCGUUGUUCGGAAUCACUGGGCGUAAAGCGUACGUAGGCGGACUGAUCAGUCAGGGGUGAAAUCCCGGGGCUCAACCCCGGAACUGCCUUUGAUACUGUCAGUCUUGAGAUCGAGAGAGGUGAGUGGAACUCCGAGUGUAGAGGUGAAAUUCGUAGAUAUUCGGAAGAACACCAGUGGGCGAAGGCGGCUCACUGCUCGAWACCUGA
rnacentral:rRNA from 1 species